CCCAUUUUCUCCUCCCCCUCCCCGAUUUUCUCGGACCACAGAGAGACCGCGCCGACGCGCAGCGCCGCAUGUCCCGGCGUCCAUGGCGGCUCGCCGUAGCAGCCCGCAGCGGAGGGGUCCAGCGCGCUGCUCCGUCGAUCUUGGCCACCCGUGCCGCUCUCAUGGCGUUAGCGGCGGGAGGGAGGACGCCGGUGCCGCGGCGACUUGAGGAUGGCGAACGGGGCGAGGCUGCGGCCACCGCGUCGUCUUCUUGAGGUGCGGCAACAGCUGGAGCUUGUGGCUACUCCACCCACGGUGACAGCCGCGUGCGGCGGCCCGAUGCGCUUGGGCUUCCGGAUGGCUGAUGUAUACUCCUGCAAUAAAGCUUUUGGGGUAUGAUUCGAGCCACUCGUGCUUCAGCCAAUCAUCCAUCGUACAGCUGGCAAGUGAAAUAAGUCUCUAUUAUUUCAACAGUUGGCUGCUAUCGGAAAGAAACCGUAAACUUGGCAACAUAUGGACUUCAGCGGUGCAGACAGACGGAGAAGUCUUCAUUUUUUCAAAAGAAACUGACAUCUGACGAUAACAGUAAUGAGAAUUCAAACGUUGAACAUUGAAACCUGGAAAAUAACAGUUGUUGGUUCAUGCAUUUGCAGCACAUGAUUCACAGGAAUAAUUAGCAUCAGACUGGAGAUUUCCUUACUAGUAUAGUUUUCAUUUUUCUCAUUAGUAUUUGUUUAGACUGUAUGGUCGCCUGCGACAUAGAAUAGAGAUAAAAGCAUUAGUAAAGGCUCAUUCAUUGAAAAUCAAAAUCAUAGAGACAGGAAAAGAAAAUGAGUUUCUAUCA